rnacentral:lncRNA from 1 species
CCUUAAGAAAAACUUGAUUUGUGUCACCUAUCAGAGAUAAAACCUAGCAUGUGAUGGGAAGCUUUGGUAUGUAAUCAUCCAUCCUAGGAUUUCUACUUAUCGUUGGCCACUUAGGAUUUGCCUUAGGAGCCAACUAGACUAAAAGCCAUAAUCUAGGGUUGGAUUUUAUUUCCAUCCACAAUAUCAAUCUAAUAACAUGUUACUAGCCCA